UUGGGGGGAAAAAAGAGAGAGGGGCGCAUGGGAGGGGGAGUUUAGGACCCACUCAGUUGUCAGAGAAAGUCAUUACUAGUAUGUAUGUGUUCUCCGUGGGUGUUUGAGUCCAUAGUGGAAGCUGGGGUGUUUAUUUCCACGCACAGCAGUUGAACUCAUCCGUGCGUAAUAGUUGCCACCGGCCGGACAACCAUGCGGCGGUGCGUCCUGGUUCUGCUGGGGGCCGUGGUGGUGAGCGCGCAGUUCCCACGGGAGUGCGUGACUCCAGAGGGGCUCCGGAGUGGACAGUGCUGUCCUUCACCCUCCGGACUCGACAAUGACGCGUGCGGCUCCAGCUCAGGCCGCGGACAGUGCGUGUUUCUGUCCGUGGACGCGCGCCCGCACGGACCCCAGUACCCGCACGACGGACGGGAUGACCGGGAGAGGUGGCCCAUCCGGUACUUCAACCGAACCUGUCAGUGCAACGGGAACUUCAGCGGGUACAACUGUGGACGAUGCAGACACGGGUGGACUGGAGCCAACUGUGACCAGCGGGUUUCUGUGGUGAGAAGAAACGUGAUGCAGCUCAGCGCCGAUGAGAAGCGUGCAUUCGUCAACGCAUUGGACCAGGCUAAACGUACGGUGCAUCCUGACCUGGUGAUCGCCACGCGGCGCUACCAGGAGAUCCUGGGGCCCGACGGGAACACGGUGCAGUUCGAGAACAUCACCAUCUACAACUACUUCGUCUGGACGCACUAUUACUCAGUCAGUAAGACGUUUCUGGGCGUGGGUCAGGCCAGUUUCGGAGGGGUGGACUUCUCACAUGAGGGGCCCGGGUUCCUGACCUGGCACCGGUACCAUUUACUGCAGCUGGAGAGGGACAUGCAGGACAUGCUGCAGGACCCGACUUUCGCCCUCCCCUACUGGAACUUCGCCAUCGGUGGCAACACAUGUGACAUUUGUACCGACGACCUGAUGGGAGCCAGGAGCACCUUCGACGCCAGCGCCCUGAGCACCAACUCCAUCUUUUCCCAGUGGAGAGUCGUCUGCGAGAGCGUAGAAGACUACGACACUCUGGGAACCAUCUGCAACAGUACUGAGACCUCUCCCAUCAGAAGGAACCCAGCAGGAAACGUGAACAGGCCGAUGGUCCAGCGUCUCCCAGAGCCCCAGGACGUGGCAGACUGUCUGCAGGUCAACACUUUCGACACCCCCCCCUAUUAUUCCACCUCCUCCGAAAGCUUCAGAAACACGAUUGAAGGUUACAGCGCCCCCCAGGGCAACUAUGACCCUGUGGUGAGGAGCCUCCAUAACCUGGCCCAUCUGUUCCUGAACGGGACAGGAGGACAGACCCACCUCUCACCCAACGACCCCAUCUUUGUCCUAUUACACACCUUCACAGACGCCAUCUUUGACGAAUGGUUGAGGAGGCACAGUCCAGAUUCUGCUGUUUAUCCUGAAGAGAACGCCCCCAUUGGUCACAACCGAGGCUACAACAUGGUGCCCUUCUGGCCCCCGGUGACCAACGCUGAGAUGUUUGUGACCGCCCCCGACAACCUGGGAUACACUUAUGAAGCCGAAUGGCCAGGUCAGGCCUUCACUCUGACUGAAAUCAUCACCAUGGCGAUCGUGGCUGCCCUUGUGGUGGUCGCAGUCAUUUUUGCAGCCACGACAUGCGCCGUGCGAGCCAGGUCUUACAAGAUGGAGGGUCUUCAGCCGCUGCUCGGGGAUCAGUACCAGAGAUACGACGACGGCAAAAGCCAAUCUGUGGUUUAAGACCACAGCUUCUUCUAACGUCAUCCACGCAGUUUGGUCACAUUUGUCCCUUGUUUCUCAAAGCUGCGAGAUGAUAGGUGGAGUUAUUGCUGCAUUCAUGUCCCACUGUCAGAGCUUUUAUCUAACAGACCAGUUUACUUGACAUGUUCCCUGUAGAUCCCAAACCACUCACUCAUCUUUGCCAUUUCCAGAUUAUGAGGAAAAGUUUGAGUGUUUGACCACCAGAUGGUGCUGUAAUCAGAUCCUGACCAGGCCUUGAACAGAGUAAUAUCCAGGGAAUGCCUUCUGUAGCAAAGUAUGUAGGGUUUUCCUUUAUUCACACUCAUGAACACAGUCUAAUUUAAGGAUAACCAAUAUUUGGCUGAUAUUUGGUGAAGAGAUACACAGCAGUGACUAUAAAAUGCACUGUGUGUGUCUGGGAGCCAUAACGCCCACAUGGGGGUGCUAUAUUUCAACUUCUGAAGCUGUGGAGCUCAUUUAAAACAGACGUAUAGCCUCCUGAGUGUUUUGUUUGGCCUGUUUUUCCACUGUCCUAAUAAUGUAUUUAGGUGAAUGAAAUGUAUAGUAGAUCAAUUAAGACACCUAAGUGAACUGUAUAUUCUCACGUUGCAGCUUUUUUACAUGUUUCUAUCUGUUUCUUUCCAUCGUUCUGCUUCUUCUCUUCAGUCUCUUCACUCUUCUGUUUUUACAUUUAUAUAUUUGCAGUAACAUUUUUGAUCUGGGUGCACGCCAAAUAUUUUGUUUGAUUAAAUGUUAUGCUUAUAUACAGAGGUUUUUGUUGAUUUUUAUGCACGGAUUAAAUGUGAUUAAAUACACUUUUU